GUAUUGUUUAAAGAGAAAAUUAUAUAUAUUAAAUAUUGGUAAAAUUGAGGGGGAAAAAACUACAAUGGUAAAGGAGAAAAAAAAAGGAAAAACUAAAUUACAAAAAUUUCCCUUGAAGAACAAUUCUAAAAUAGGCUCAAAAAUUUCAGAUGAUUGUUCUGAAAAAUUUCACGCAAAUGAGUUGGCAUAUAUCGAUCAUUUUUAUGUUUUUUUUACAAAGUUGAAUAGAAUGAAUUAAUUAAGUAAUUACUCAAUAAACAGUCAAUUUUGACAAUUUUAGAAACCAAAUAGAUUUUAAAUGUAAAAUUGGCGUAACAUACCAACCAAUUUCAAUAGAGUUUUGUUUAAAUAUUUACGUAUAUUCGAUUGAUGCAAUUGUUUAAACAGUGUGAUUGGGACGUAGAAAUAUCUAUAAUUUUAUCCUAAAAAAUUAUUUUAAAAUCACCAAAAAAUUUAAAAAAAAAACAUAGAAUUCAAACCAAAGAUUUCAACUUUCCGCCAAAAUCACACUCCAAAAAAAAAGAAAAAAAAAUCAAUUCAUCAAAAACAUUCAAACCACUCAAACUCAUUAAAAGGACGAAGAUCGAACCCCUCGUGAGAAAGAAAAUGAGAAAAGAGAGAGGAGAGAGGAGAGAGAGAGAGGGGUAUCAUGGGAAGGCUCACCCCACAACGAGCCUACGCCCAUUACUGCUAUAACGCUGCAAUUGCCUCCCUUGCCUCGAUACCAAAGACGCCAUUUUUUUUCUUUUUUGGCUCUUCACCUUCUCCUUUCUCCUUCCCGCAAUACCCCCUCUUUCCUUAUACUCUGCUCUCUCUAAGAUGCCCAAAAUGCCCCUCUCCCACAAAUAAACUAGUUUCUAAGAACUGUUUCUUAGAAUUUUGAGAGAGAGAGAGAGAGAGAGAGUGGAUAGCGUUGCGACAACGAAGAGGGGGCUAUAAAUAGAAAGAGUUAGAGAGAGAAAGAGGGGGGAUAGAGAGAGAAAAGUUGGGUAUUUUUUGGAAGCCCAUGCUAUGGGGACCCAGCAUUUGUACCCCGAAUUAAAUGGAAUGAUAAUUUAGUAGGGUAAAUUACAUGCCAAUACUUAAAUAUUUAUUGACUUUUUUUUCAAUAUUUAUUCUUUUUUAAAGUGAAUUUCAUAGCUCUUGAGAAAAUAUAAUAUGAAUUUUGGGUAAAUUUUUUUUUCCAAAAUCACUUAUCCACUGCACGAAUUUAACUUAAUUAAUUAUUACUGUCAGAUGAUUAGAAUCAAUUAAUUUGAUAUAUUUAUACAAAUAAAAGAAAUAUUAAAUCUAUUUUAUAAAAAAAAAAAACAAUUUGUACAAAUUUUUGAAUGAUUACACUGGAGAAAAUUUGUUUAAAAAACUUAUAUAAAUACAAAUUAGAUGUAUUUUGUCUGAUCUGAACUGCUUUUCUAGACUAUCGAUAUUUCAACUAUUAUGAAAACGAUUUAAUUUAAUAGCCUAAAUUCAACAGCCUACAUUAAGUAGAAAAUUUACUUACAUUUCGAGCAGAAAUUUAUAAUAUUUAUAACAUCAUUUUUAUUGAAGUGGUGGAUGCUUUUCAACACCACAAUUUCAAAAUAGAUUUGUAAAGAGUUAGACUACAAUACUACAUAUCCCGAUUCGGAGAGUUUAUUUGGAUAGACUUACUGUCCACAUCUUACGAAACUUGCUGAUUCAAGGAUCUUAUCUGACUUGUCCAAUCAACAAUAUAUAUAUAUAUAUAUAUAUAGAGAGAGAGAGAGAGAGAGAGAGAGAGAGAGUUAAUUAUUAUAGGCUAAAAUAUUUUUUAUAAAUUCUUUCAUAAAUUUUCUUUUCUUUAAUUUUUUUUUUUAAAGAAGCUUAAUUUAUUUGAAAUUUGAAUUGGGUACACACUUUGGGGUACAUCCGAGGGUUCCCGAAGCAUGUCGAGAGGAGGUGUUCGCGGCGCGAUUCGCUCGCUGGCUCCGGCGUUGCUUCGCCACGUGGCACCUUCGUAAAGUAAAAUGUGGCGGUUGGGGUCGUUGGGUUUAUUAUUGAUGGUGAUUUUUUUUUUUUUUUGAGGAAAUUAUUAUCUAUAUACCUACCAUACGGUCCAUACUACAUCUAGUUUUAAAUUAUUAAUUAAUGCAUUCAAAUUAUUUUUUUUUUAAAAAAAGGUAAAAUUCAAAUACUAUCUUUUUGAUUUCGUACUUUUUUAUUUUAGUAUUCUAUAGUUUAAAGUGUAUCAACCUGUGAUAUCAUUUUUAUUUUUUAGACAGCUUUUUCGUUAAUAUUUCGUUAAAUUAUUUACAAAAAUUUUCAGAUAUUCCACCUAGGUUUAUCGAAUAUUCACUUUAGUGACUUUUAGUUUUAAUUUUGUCACUGAUUUAACAUAAAAAAAUUAGUGGAAUCAAUAAUACAAAGAUAAAAGUAAAAUUACUGAAUACUAAAUUGAUACACUUUACGAAAGUGAGAAAGUGUGAAACCAUAUGAGUGGAAUUUGAAAAUUUUUUCAAAAAAACUUAAUUUGAUGGAUCUGAUUUAUACUACUGGAAGAAAUGUGUAUUAAUAUGGCAUCAAUUAGGUUUUAGUCAUUAAAUACAAAAGAAAUUAGAUGUUUAAAAUUUAUGAAUUUGGAUAAAGGUCAUGAUUUUGAGAAGUGUGCAAAAAGGUUGUCGCAUACUCAACCCGGUGAGCAGAACUCGUGCAGGCUAAAAUUUUCUGUACACUCAUUUACGCAGUUAAUCAUUUUUGACGAAAUAAAUAUCGACUUUUCAAAUGUGUAAAAUUUUUCUGGACACGAAUAUGUACUCAAUUCAGCCCAAUCUAGAACACGCUGUUAUCUAUAUAAUCAUAAUGCUGUUAUUAUUGCUCAUAACCGUUCACUUACGUGUACGUAACUAGUUUACGAUCUUUUUUCUCUCUCUAAAACAAAUGCAUGUAUUUUUUUAUUUUAUUUUUGGGAAGAUAAGUAAGCUAGAUGGACCUUUCUGGUCAUUCUCAUCACACCGGACUAGAAAAAGUCACGAUUUUGAUUUAUUUCAUAUAAGAUUAUUCUUGCAUUUGAAUUCUUAAGAGGAUAUUCUCUAAUAAACACAAUAAUGACAACUUUAAAAAAAAUUUAAAAAUUUAUUAUUUUCCAUCUUAGAAUAUGCAUGAUGUAGGCUACGAUAUAAUCGAUACGUACAGUCAAAAAUUUGAAGAUGAUAAGAUUCUUAUUGCACUAUGAAUGAUCUACAAUGAGCCAAGUAACAUUGCUAGUUGUAAUUUUCUAACUUACUAAACUUGCAUACUUCUUCUUUUUGAAUAAAGUUGUAAAAUAAAGUGGAUAGCACGUAGGCUCGGAUUCCCGCAGGCAUCUGAUGCCUUUUGCUUUGCAUCUUAGUUGGUUUUAAUUCUUUUUAAUAUGAAUUAUUGUGACAUGACGUGUAAUGGCUAACUUCGUAUAGGUUCUAUGUAGGGAUGCAAACGGAUCUGGAUUGGUGGAGCUCCCGCCCCGAUCCACUCAGACGAAGGCAGUAAAUGAGAGAAAAUAAACGAAUUUGGGGCAGAAAACGGAAUAAAGUUUACGAUUCAAGACGGAUUCGGGGUAGGAAACGGGAGAAAUUUUGACUCGUCCUGAAUCCGGAGAAAUUUUGACUCGCCCCGAAUCCGCCCCGCCAUGAACCGCCCCCAAUCCGCCCCAAAAAUUAUUUAUAUUUUAAAAAAAUAUUGUUAAAAAAUAAUAUAUUUAUAAAAAAAGUUCAAAAUACAAAUAAGUUAGUACUUUCAUUUCUAAUUAUUUGAAACUUUUGAAUUUUGUUUUGAAUUGUGAUUGAUAUUUUUAAUUUUUAUAAUUGAUAUUAUUAAAUUAUAUAUAUAAUAUUAUUAAAAAUUAUUAAUUUAUAAUUUAUAAAAUAUUAAUAAUAUUAUAAUUUUAUAAAAAAUAUUAGUUAGCGGGGCGGAUUGGAGGCGCCGGCGGGAGGCGGGGCGGAUUAUGGGAUGUAUUUUUUAACCCGUCACGGAUUCGGGGCGGGAGGCGGGGCGGGAUUUUGCUAGUCGGGGCGGGAGGCGGGGCGGGGCUCCCUCCCCCAGAUCCACCCCGUUUGCAUCCCUAGUUCUAUAUAUAAGUGAAUUGCAAAUAUAUCCCUAUAAAAUUUAACUUUCAUAUAUUGUUUCUAUAAAAGUUCUAAUAUUUUCAAAUAUAUCCCUAAAGUUAGGAUCCGUUAGAAAAAAUUAGUUUACUUAACCCUAGUUAGUUAAUAAAGUGAAUUGACCUUUUUACCCAUAUGUAAUUAAUAGUUGGGACUUUUAAAGAGACAUAUUUAUAAUGAUAAAAAGAUCAUUUUAUUCAUAAAAUAAAUAGUGUUUUAACGGAGAAACAUAUUUGAAAAUAUUAAAAUUUUUACAGAAACAAUAUAUGAAAGUUAAAUUUUGUAGGAAUAUAUUUGCAAUUCAUUAUAUUUGUAGAGACAUGUAUAAAAUUAACCCUAAAAUAAAUGUCUGGGCUUAUAAGCAUUCUUAAAAAAAUAAAAUAUAAUAAAGAAAAAAAAAAGAUGUUGGUAUUGCUACUAUAUGUGAUUAAAGGUGCAUUUGGUACGAGUUAUGUAGUAUUACAGAUUAUUUCGAUAUAUAACUAGAUAUCAGAGAUUUCUAAAUUAGAUUACUAUUAAUCUUGCAUUAUCACGUUUGAUUUACUGUGGUGAUGUAAUACUAGAUCACAGUGGAUACUGAAUUAUUAUGUUUGGUUCAGUAUAUAAAAUUUAGUAAUACUAAUAGUAAAGUGUAGUCUAUUCUAAAAUUACCGUUAUGGUCAUAUUUAAUAUUUUUCUAUUAAAUUAUAAUUUAACAUAAUUUGUACUUAAUUAAUUCUAUUUAGAAAUAAUUUAUUGAUAACCUUCUCCUCUAAUGUUAGAUUUGUCUCUCUGAAAUGCUCAUGUGUUGAUAUAUAUAAUUGAAAAUUUAUAAUUAUAUCCAUACGACGUACGUAAAAAUGUCAUAUAAAUUUAUCAAUAUAUUAAUAAUGCACUGAUAAAAUUAUUACGUAAGUGCAUGUAGUUAGCUCGUUUCUUUCAAUCCGAACUUAUAAGUCUCCAUCCAACUAUUUAAUAUUAAAUGUAUCUUUUUAAAGGACAAAAAUGCAACAUUUAUGUGGUAGAGAUUUAGAGGAAAAGAUAAAGUGCGGUGCAUGGCUGAUGUGGUGCACUUCUUAGGUCAUCUAUUUUUACUUGUUUGGUCCAUUUCGAUGGACCCGGUACACGCCCCAAAAGUUUCUCCUGUUUAGUAUCUGCGCGGUUUACUUCCACGGGACGUGUCCGUUCCCAACCGUUGCCCCCUCCAACGGUCAAUUCCCUUCUCUUAACCGCUCAACUACACUCUUUUAAAUUUCCCUCCUUUCCCCUCAAUCCAAAACUUCUACAUAACCCUUUGUUAAAUCUCUCUCUCUCUCUCUCUCUCUCUCUCUCUCUCUACCAUGUACCCUUCCACAGUGGAUGAUCACAUAUUGCAACCCCCGACACCCCCGCACCCAACGGCGCCACCGCCGCCUCGGCCUCCGCCUCCGCCGCCUCCGCCGCCACCGCCGCUCAUUUUGGCUACUGAUGCAGCGCGGGCUUACCACUACCACCCGCCGCUAUUGUCGUCGAUGGCGGCUCCUCAUGCCCUCCAUGUCCUGUCGCAGGUGCCAGCCCCGUGGUCCACCGGGCUCUUCGACUGCUGCGACGACGUCGGCAAUUGUAUGCUUGUUGGCUAGCUAAAUAUUCUUUCAUCCACUGCAAAAUUUCACUAGUUUUUAUGGAUGCAUCUAAUAUGCACAUUAGUUCAUGCCAAAAUGUGUGGAAAUCCCCCCUCGUUAUAAUCUGCCCUCCCUUGAACUGCUGUACCUAGCACAGUCGAUUAAAGACUCGAUGAUUGACGCUUUAAGAUUUCAAAUUCGAUGCCUAUUUGUUUCAUAUUUUGAUCUAAGUAUAGUUUUAAGAAAUGAACAAGAUAAUAAACUAUAACAUUUAACAGGUUGUGUUACCUUUUUCUGCCCCUGCAUCACCUUCGGCCGGAUCGCAGAGAUCGUCGACCGCGGAUCCAUUUGUACGAUAUCUACUCUCCCACUCUCUCUCUAGAAUAUAAUUUCUCUGAAAGCCUAAGUUGUCAGAAAACGACUUUUUCUUUCCAUCUCGCAUGUAAAGCAUGCGGGGCGAGCGGAGCGCUGUACGCACUGAUACUCUGCGUGACGGGGUGCAACUGCAUGUACUCGUGCUUCUACCGGUCGAAGAUGCGGGGGCAGUACCUGCUGGAGGAGAGCCCCUGUGCCGACUGCGCCGUCCACUGCUGCUGCGAGUCCUGCGCCCUCUGCCAGGAGUACAGGGAGCUCAAGACCCGCGGCUUCGACCUACGCUUAGGUACGUGUGUGCACGCGCGCGUAUAUACACGCGCGUGUAUAUUACUUGAGCAUAUGUACAUAGUAAACUGCUUAUGUAUUGUACAUAUAUGUUUGAUGGUAUAUGAAUACAGGGUGGCGAGGUAAUAUGGUGAGAAACAAAGCAAUGCUGCCACCAAGUGUUGAAGGAGGCAUGAGCCGCUGCUAAUUUAAAAAGGAUGCUGUUUUUUUGUUAUCUUUAAUGAUAAUGGUAUUAUUUUCCCUUGUAUCUUUUUAAUCGUGCCCCUCAAAAAGUACCAAAAUUUCGUUACUUGCACAACAUUUCUUUUCUUGCACUUUAUAAUGUUUCCUUUCUCCAUAUUCCUACAUGACAAGCAAUUCACUAAAAAAGACUAGAAUGCAUGUUCAUAAAACAUAUUCAUUCAAUACCUUCAAUAUAUUUUCUUGGACAGAAGCCCAAAUUGUUGACUUUAUAUAUUGUUUGUAGAGAUGUUACAAAAAUAUUGGACCUCACUUUUAUCCACAUUCAUUCAUUAUCUUCAAUCAAAUAAGAAGAUAAUAUUCACAAAACAUAAAGAACAGAAAGCAUGUGUAAGGAAUAAAAGUUACCCUACGAAUGAAACUGUGCCAUUAUACCGGGACUCUGUAUGUCGGAUCAACCAUCUUCAGUAUAAACAAAUUUCCCUUGUCGCCCCUCGAUAUCCUGGCAAUUUCAUUGAGAAUCAGUAAAAGAGAAUUCCUUUACUUACUACUAACUUUGAGUCGAACAUUUGACAACCAUAAAGUCAUUUGAACUUCGUAUUACUUAACUUCGUAUUACUCAGGUAUAUUAUCAUCUGAGCUAGGUAUAGAUGUAACAAAUUCUUUGACUCCAGUUUCAAUCUAUGCAUAGUUAAGCGAGCGAUAACUUCAGACAAAGAAAUCUAAUUUCCACUCGGUCCAAAGCACAAAACCAACUAGACUAGAAUUUGCUGUAGCUUGCUUGAAGCGACUUUAGGAUAAAAUUUACCAUUCGAUUCCCAGGGGCAAACAUUAUAUACAGCAAAUGUAUCUUCAUGUGAUAACUACUAACAUGUAACCAGCAAAUCAAACUCCUAACCUACUUUUGUAUGAUGAAGUUGUUUACUCUCUGUUCUGUUUUUUAUAGUACAAUUGCGCUUAGCAGUUGCAAGAAUUGCGCUCAUGUGUUUCGGACCCUUUGGAAAGACAAGGAUGUAAGCUUACCGAAUCUCUUCGUCUAAGUAAGUGAUUUCUAGCUCACCACGACCUCCUUCCGGUGCCUUUAUAGGUAUCUACACAUAAAGGAUGCAAAGUAAGAGAAUACCAUUGCGGAGCUAGUUUUCUUGCUAAAUUUCAUUUUGACUUCCCCAUGCAGAAUAUAAUUAAAUAUCCAAAAUGAAAAUUCAACAAAUUUGCAGGUGGCUUGUGCAUGAACUAUCUCUCGAAUUGAGUUUUCAACUUCAGAGAGGCCAAAUCACUCCAAUAAGCAUAAAAUGCUAUCCUAAAAUCCAAAAAUCCACAUAUAUGGAAGACAAGACAAUAAAAUUUAGGGGCAAUUGCUUAUAUACCCCUGAAAAGUUUUCGAUUUACCCUUCUUAAAAGGCUAAUAUUGAAAAUACCCUUUCUACGUUCCAACCUAUUUCUAAUAUACCCCUAGAGUUAAAAUUUGUUAAUUAACUCUGUUAUCUCUGUAAAAUUACUAUUUUGCCCUUUCAAAUAUACCCUUCCACCAUCACUGUCUUUCUUAUUUGCCCUUAAAGUCAGGGGCACAAAAAGUAUUUUAACUUUUGGUCUUUUCCAAUAUACCCCUCUACCGUCACCAACCUUUUUUAUUUGCCCUUAAGUUAAGGGCAAAAUUGGUAUUUUAAUUUUUAACUGUGGUCGAUAUUUAACUCACGUUUAACCCAAGUUAACUUAACAGGAGAUAACUACGGGGGUAUUUUGCAAUAACGGUGGAACAUAUGAGGGAAAUUUUAGAAAGAAAAAACAAGUAGGAGUAAAUCGGAUAUUUUCAAACGUAUGAGGGGUAUAUAAGCAAUUAUCCCUAAAAUUUAUGUUGUUCGCUGAAUGAGUGAGGAGAAGUUGAAAUCACCCACACUAACAACUGAAAAGAAAAGAAAGACUUACCAACAACUGAAAAGAAAAGAAAAGAAAAGAAAGACUUACCAAACCAAAAAUUUUGAAAGUAUCAAAUCUGACUGCCACCCUUCUUUCAUUAAGAGGAACCAGGUUUGCUGUGACCUGCAAGGACGAUAAAGUUGAACAGAGAGAACUUUAGAGGGGCAUUAUAUGUUGUGCUAGAGAACCUCGGAAGAAAAAAAUUUGUGCUAGAGAAACACAACCUAUCAGAAGAAGCAAGAAAAGAGGCAAUCAUAUUCAUUGAUACAUAAAACAAAAUUUGAAGAAAAUGCCCUGCAGAUCAUAAAUUCUUUAGUAGGUUAUACUAGUUAAAUUUAUGGUUGCAUUCCAUUGCAAUUAAAAAUGCAUUGCUAAAAUAUUUUAGAAAAUUUAGAAGUUGUGAACAGCAAAAACUUAAGCAUGCAGGAGGAAAUGCAUGAAUUGCACCAAUGAAUUACCUGGUUAAAGUAAGGCCAGGUUUCCAUAUUUUGAGCCCUUAAUGUGUCCGUGUUGAUGGCCUGGUAUAUUUUCCCAUUCGGUCGUAAAAACUUUGGCCUCUGCAACAGCCAAUAUUACAUCAAUUAUCACCAAAUUAAUAAUGUUGAUUUGCCAGUAUCUGAUAGAAGAAGAAAAAUUAAUAGAUUUGCAUUAAUAUACAAGCAAAUCUGAGGUGAAUGUGCAAGAAUUGAAAGAGAAUUUACUCAAAAGGGAUAAUAAAAUGAGCUGUUUUCGAAGGGCAACAACUAAAGCAGAUGCUUUGGGCAAAUAAGAGAAAAAGAAACAUUACCUGAGUUUGUAAAAUGGACCUAGAAGUUGUAUAUAGAAGCUCCCAUUUUCCAUUAAGCAAAUCUGACUUGAGUGGCUCCUUAACCGGAUUAAUUGCCUCAAGUUCACUUGCAAUCUAUUGAAUUUACAGAUUCAAAGAAUACUGUUAGAAAUUGAUGGAAUCAAACAUGAUCUUCCAAACUACUUUUCAAAUUCACGUGCAAUCUGUUGAAUUUACAGAUUCAGAGAAUACUGUUAGAAAUUGAUGGAAUCAAACAUGAUCUUCCAAAAUACUUUCACGAUCGUUUUUUAUCUCUCUUUCAGAUCUCAUGCCGCUAACCCUAAACUCUAUAUCCUUCUAAAAAUCUCAAAAAUUUAUUUUUUUAUAAGAGUAUUAUAGCUCUCACAAUAAAAAAUAACUGACGGUAGUCAAUUGACUUUGAAAUUUAGAGAGACGGAGUUGAUAACUAACAACGUUGAGGCAACUUUUUAAAGUUUGAUUGCCAAGCAUAAGCGGGUCAAAAUUUUACUUAUUAUUUUUAAAAAAAACCAAGAAAAUUUGGAGUUAGAUAGCAUAUGUUUGUUUGCUCGUAACUGAUUUUCGGAUUGAAAAUGACUUUCAGUUCAACUACAAUUCGGAUAAAUAUCAUUUUUUUUUGUACCGCAGUUUGUUUGAUAAUAAGUAAAUGACUUUCGAAUUAUGGUUUUUCCCCUUUUUUUUUGUUCGUAUUAUAAUUUUCAUCUAUUUCUCUCGCGUAAUAAACUUCACAAUUAUGGUGUUUCAGAGAAGUGGAGUGCUGGACAACUUUAAUUUACGACGAACCAAACAGCAAAAGACGAAAAAUAACUUCUCCCCUCUCGUCACUUUCGGUGAAAUAAACAUGCCAAUUAAACAUGAAACUACAAUUGUAGUGAUGGAAAAGAACAGAAACUAGAGGUGUACGUGUACCCGAUCGACGCUCUCUUGGUCCUCGGGACCGGCGUCGGCGCCGCGAUCGAGGGGGGCGAUGGCGGCGAGGAGCUCCUCCUUGAGCUCCUCCCGGCUCUUGCCUCUCUUCUUGAUGAAGGAGGGGAAGAAGGAAACCCUAGUCCUCCACUUCGACUCCUGCGGCGCCGCCGCCAACAACGGCGAAACUCGCUCCCUCGGCCCCCACUGAGGGGUUUGGGCGAAAAGGGCGGGGGACGGGGGGGAUCGGGAGAUCGCGAGAGGAGUUUCUAGGGUUCGGCGGGGCCUUGCAAGGGGCGAGGGGGAGAAAGGAGGAGACGGAGAAGGAGAGGAGGGCAACAACAACGCCAUGGGCGCGCGCGGUGGAGAGUGAGAGCGUGGGGAGAGAGAUAAGGAAGCGAGGGGAGGAGAGGGAGAAGGCCACGUGUUGUUACCCACUGAUUUGGGCGUGGACCCCUCUUUGGAUUUUGUCACAGCGGUUAACUUCAUAUAUUUUUUUUUUCUUUAAUAAAUAACACGCUACACGUUUCAUUCACUAAAAUAGCACGCUAUUCGUUUCAUUUACUAAAAAUAUAAAUUAAACUAUAUGGGUGAGCUACUCGUUUCAUUCACUGAAAAUAUAAACUAAACUAUAUGGAUGAGGUAACACAGGCAUAAAAGGGGGCGGCCGAUUAAGCUCGGAACGUGCGGCCGAUUAAGCGGGGGCAGUUGAUCCCAGAGAUUCGAUUCAACAACUGCUUAAUCUUACAAAAGACUACGAUGGGAUUUAGCCGGUCCUUCCUAAAAAUCACACCAUUUCUAGUCUCACAGAUUACCCACAAGCAGACUACCAAUCCGAUUAUCUUACGUCUCGACGAAUGCGAUCCAAUCCUCUCCGCCCACCUAUCCCAGAUCGACGUCACAUCGUCCCCCCAAUUGCUAGGCUGGACAUUAUCCAAUAACAUCCUUCUAAAAUUAUUAUUCACAUUCAUCUAAUUAUCUAAAGUAAUUACUAAUAUUUUUUAAAAUAAUGUAGAACUGUCGCCAAUGCUCUUUCAAAUCUCAAAUUUUGAGCCUAAACUGCAAACUCUUUAUACAUAACAGCACUAAUAAUAUUAUUUCCUAAUUUGGAAGGACAUCACUAGAGUUACACAUUUUUUCCGUGAAUGAACUGUCAAUAAAUAAAUAAAUAAAUAAUUUAUUUAAAUACAAUAAAUAAAUAAAUAAUUUAGAUUAUAUACAAGUGGUAGUAGAAUUUACUCAGGUCAUCAUCACUCAGGCCACAUCCCGGCGCAUAAUAUCUUCGAGUCUCUACUUUGACACACAGCAUAUAUACACACAUACCCGCAUCCACUGUCCAAACGGAAUUACAAUCCAUUGUUUAUCAUAAUAAUCAUCAUAACAUAUUCGCAAUUUCGCAUACUCAACCGGUGUGGCUCACACAAUACUUGUCCACAAGAAAAAGAUUAUCGACUCCGCGCGCACAGCAUGCAUAUCAAUAUAACACUCUUUUCAAUCCAAACUGGUACCAUUGCUGGGCGAUCAUCUCAAUACGAAAAGAAUCAAUACCUAAUAGCCUGCUAUGAUAAAUCAUGCAGUCCUACACACGAAAUGGCAAUUUGACAAAACUACCGUAUCUAGUAUCGCCGUAAUCAUGCAGUUACUAUAGUUAUGAUAUAGCAAACGAAAGGAUCGAGAGAAUUGUAUACAUUGUUAAUGCAAUAAGAUAAUAUCAUACUCACAGUUUAGUGUGUAGGAGACUCGUAGAGGUUGAAGAAGAGACUGUCGCCUAAGAUCACCAGAAUCCAAGCUAGUCCACUAUAACUGAUGUAGUCAACCGUAGGGGUGCGCAACAAAAAGCCCAAAAAGCACCAAAACUCAUCAAAAGAUUGAAUAUUGACGAAAAACCAGCAUGCAAAGGGUUCUACCGUGGCUUCGAGCUUCGGAGUCGAAGAAGGGGGCAUAGGUCGCCAAUUCGAUCUCUAUACCAUAGGGUCGUCGAUCUUCCGAGUCUCUGCAGAGCUCGUGGUGGGGGUGGUUUAGCUCCACUUAGGGGGAGGUUAGUGGUGGUUGAAGGAGAAAAGAAAGAGGAAGAGAGAGAGAGAGGAGAUAGUGACGGAGGAGUAUAGAGAGGAAAAAGAAAAGAGAGAACAAGAGAGAGAUACAGAAGAGAGGAGAGAGGCUCUUUCCCUUGGACAAGAAAGGGAAGGAAAGGAGGAACAAGUCCGGCUUUAAUAUAUGAGCAAAAACAUGGGGAAAAAAUAACUAAGUUGAGAAAUAAUUCAGAUUAAACUUCAAUAUGAUGUUUAAUAUAUGAGCAAUUCAAUACAUAAUUCUCCAGUGCCUAAUUAUUGUUAAACCAAUAAACUUCCCAAAAGAUAAAAAGAAAGAAGAGUUAUUCCUCCGCGGAGUAUUUAGCUCUAACAUAAAUUUUUAAUACCAAACAUCUACUAAACUUGUAUUCAUUCGCCAUCAACAACAUGUUAAAUUCUGCAGGUUCUUACUUUCAUAGGGUAAUUGUAGCCCGACGCAAAAGGUCGGUAACUAAAUACAGAGAAAGUAAAUGUACAACAUUCAAAUCACCGAACAGUAUCAAUCCAAAAUUUACUUGAAAAUGAUAAAAAUUAGGAGAGGUUAUCUAACCCGCCCUCCUAACGAGAAGCCUUCUUUUUGCCGGCGACGGCAACCCUCUUGCCCUUCAAUGUACGGCAAUUGUUCUUCGUCCUCUGCCCCCUGCAAGGAAGCCCCAUCUCAUGCCGAAUCCCCCUAUAGCACCGAAUCUCCUUCAGCCUCUCAAUCGCCAGCCUAUUGAACCGCUUCUGCAAUGCCCAAAUGGAAGAAUACGGUACAUAUUAUAGACCUUACUUGAACUAUAGUGUAUCUUGAAGUGCUACAUGAAUCCUAAAAAAAAAAAGAAAAAUUAAAACAAUUACUGUGAAAACAUACAGUGCACUCAAUCUAAGUAAUUUGCGGUCCAAGCUCAACAAUAUUUGUGAUGCUUUGUUGAGAGAAUAUUUUGCAUUUAAAACCUAACAAAAUAUUCUGUUAUCUUUUUUCGGACAAAAGCCGAUGAAUUCUCACAACAUUGUUUACCAAACAAUAACCCAGAAAGGGUUAUUGCAUCAAAAUCACAUUUUGAAUCCGGAAACAAGCAUAAAUCAGCAAAAGAACAAACGAGUAGUGAGCAUACAAUGUCUCCUCCGUUCAUAUAUGUAUAUUCUUAUAAAACUAAGUAAAUGUUAUAUAGUAAAUUGAGGUCUCGUUUAAAUAGAAAUUCUAUACCAAAUACUGGAGGAGGGGAUUGUGGAUUGCUUAUAAUCCUUACUUGUUUGUUUGGUAACAAAAGAUAAUAAUGAUAAUAAUUCGAAAAAAACCUUUUUUUCACUUGCAAGAUAUUUUAAAAACAAAUCGUCAUCCAUCACCGCAUCUGGACGGAGUGUAUUUUAAGCUGAUCAAUCAUAACAAGAAGUGAAAACCUAUCCGUAUCAAAUUAUAUAGAAUUUAAUGUUUUUUUAAAAUAAAAAGGCACUGAUUCCAAAAGAGGUUGUAGUUUUUUGUCUUUUUUUUUAAAAUUCGGCUGUCCAUUUCAAAUUGGGCUAUGCUAUUAACACUAGUUAAAAAACAGAUAAUUGCACCAAAAUCACAUUUUGAACCCGGAACCGAGCACGAAUAGACAAAAGAACAAACGGGUAGUGGGCAUUACGAGGUCGCCUUCAAUCAUGUACUUGGAAACCUCGUCUCUGAGUGAGAUAAGCUCAUCGUCUGAGAGAUCCUUCGUGACCUUGUUCUCCAAGCUGAGGUCGCACAGGAUCUGGCGCGCCCUGUUCCGGCCAAUGCCGUGGAUGUACUGGAGCGAGAACUCCACCCUCUUAUUGUUGGGGAUCUCCACUCCCCCCACGCGAACGCACCGGAUGGUGAGUCCCCCGCACUGCGCAUGGAUCGAAGAGGAGAGGAAGCGGUGAGAUUGGGAGAGUGAAACAAGAACGGAGGAGGGAGAAGAGUGGGUUGGUUACCUUAGAAGAGGAAGAGGGGGCGGGGAAGGAGAGAGAGAAUGGAGAUGGAGUGGAUCCUUUGGGGACGAUGGAGAAGGAGGAGGUGAGGGGGAGCGCCGCGAGGGACAGGGUCGCCAUUGUUGGUGUUGGGUUGGAGCUCCGAUUGGGGUUUUGUUGUGUGGAUAAGAGUUAUCUCCUCCUUUCUUGCCCCUUUUUUUAGGCUAAAAAAUAGUGAUGGGUUAAUUAAAAUCUAAAUUUAAUUUUAAUUAUGAUAUCAAAUUAUUAAUUAUUCAAAUUAAUUAAUUUAAAUUACUAUCUAUUACUUAAAUUAUAAAGUAAUUAAUAAAUUUAUUAUUUAUAAUUAAUUAGCUAAUUAAAAAUUAAUAAUUUAAUGUCUUUAUUCAUAUUCAUAAAUUAAUAUUUAUAUUGAUCGAUCGUUUAAUUAAUAUUUUUAUUAAUCUAGUUAAUUUCUUUACUAAUUAUCAAACUAAAAUAAUUUACUAACUUUAAAUAGUUAAAUAGUUUUUAAAUUUAAUUAAUGAAUUAAUAUAUUUUUAUUAUCCUAUACACUAUUCAUAGCUAAUAAAUUUAAUAAAUUUUUAACAUUAUUUUUAAUUAAUAUUUUGGUAUUAAUUAAUUAGAUAAAAUAUUUUUAAUUUAAAAUUAUAAUUCUUAUUUUUUCUAUUUCAAUCUAACGAAUCAAACGCUAUUUACCUUAUUCUUAUGUUCAAUUUUUAUCCAAAUGUAAAAUUAGUUUAGUUACUGCUUAUGCCUGAACUUAUAUCUAUUUUUCAAAUAAGCCAUUUUUAUUUAUACAUGAACCAAAUGCAGCCCAAAUGUGUCUGAUUUUAAAUUCGUUAAAGCCUAUAUUUUAAUAUGUUCAAAUU
rnacentral:lncRNA from 1 species